rnacentral:rRNA from 1 species
CAAUAGCGUAUACUAAUGUUGUUGCAGUUAAAAAGCUCGUAGUUGAACUUCUGGUAGGAGUGUCCCGGCCUUUUUGUUUUUACAAAUUGUAUGCUGUGUGACAUCUCUGGCCAUCCUUCUUCUUUGUUUAAAGAAGAUCUUUCACUGUAAAAAAAUUAGGGUGUUUAAAGCAAAAGUUUCUUUGGAAUAUAUUAGUAUGGGAUGAUAAGAUAGGCUCUAGAUGCUAUUUUGUUGGUUUGCACAUUUAGAGAAUGAUUAACAGGGACAGUUGGGGGUAUUCGUAUUUACAUGUCAGAGGUGAAAUUCUUGGAUUUUGGAAAGACGAACUACUGCGAAAGCAUUUACCAAGGAUGUUUUCAUUAA